UACGGAGGGGGCUAGCGUUGCUCGGAAUCACUGGGCGUAAAGCGCACGUAGGCGGCUUUCUAAGUCAGGGGUGAAAUCCUGGAGCUCAGCUCCAGAACUGCCCUCGAUACUGGAGAGCUUGAGUUCGGGAGAGGUGAGUGGAACUGCGAGUGUAGAGGUGAAAUUCGUAGAUAUUCGCAAGAACACCAGUGGCGAAGGCGGCUCACUGGCCCGAUACUGACGCUGAGGUGCGAAAGCGUGGGGAGCAAACAGGG
rnacentral:rRNA from 1 species